rnacentral:ncRNA from 1 species
UCUGACCCUCUGGCCCUGACUCCCAGCCGUCCACCCCUGGCGCACCUUCCCCGGUGCCAGGUGGGAUGGAUGGGGAUCAGGGCCCGAGGAUCCGGGCUC